rnacentral:rRNA from 1 species
UUGGAGGGCAAGUCUGGUGCCAGCAGCCGCGGUAAUUCCAGCUCCAAUAGCGUAUAUUAAAGUUGUUGCAGUUAAAAAGCUCGUAGUUGAAUUUCGGAGUUUGUCGGUUGGUCGGGCUUCACUGUUCGCACUGACCUGAUGGAUUCCUACCUUCUGAAUAACCAGCAUGCUAUUAAGUCAGUGCGUUGGGGAAGCAGAGCUAUUACCUUGAAAAAAUUAGAGUGCCUAAAGCAGGCAUUUUUGCUCGAAUACAUUAGCAUGGAAUAAUAGAAUAGGACGGCAUGGUUCUAUUUUGUUGGUUUCUAGGAUCACCGUAAUGAUUAAUAGGGAUAGUUGGGGGCAUUAGUAUUCAAUUGUCAGAGGUGAAAUUCUUGGAUUUAUUGAAGACUAACUACUGCGAAAGCAUUUGCCAAGGAUGUUUUCAUUAAUCAAGAACGAGAGUUAGGGGAUCGAAGACGAUCAGAUACCGUCGUAGUCUUAACCAUAAACUAUGCCGACUAGGGAUCGGAUGAUGUUAAUUUUUUAAUGACUCAUUCGGCGCCUUACGGGAAAC